rnacentral:rRNA from 1 species
AAUGGGCGAAAGCCUGACGCAGCCAUGCCGCGUGUGUGAAGAAGGCCUUCGGGUUGUAAAGCACUUUCAAUUGGGAGGAAAGGUUCGUAGCUAAUACCUGCGAGCUGUGACGUUACUUUUAGAAGAAGCACCGGCUAACUCCGUGCCAGCAGCCGCGGUAAUACGGAGGGUGCGAGCGUUAAUCGGAAUUACUGGGCGUAAAGCGCGCGUAGGCGGUUUGUUAAGUCUGAUGUGAAAGCCCCGGGCUCAACCUGGGAAUUGCACCCGAUACUGGCCGACUGGAGUGCGAGAGAGGGAGGUAGAAUUCCACGUGUAGCGGUGAAAUGCGUAGAUAUGUGGAGGAAUACCGGUGGCGAAGGCGGCCUCCUGGCUCGACACUGACGCUGAGGUGCGAAAGCGUGGGGAGCAAACAGGAUU